GCCAGGCAUGUGGGCCCGUCCCAGUAGUCUCAGCUACUAGGAGGCUGCGGUGGGAGGACCAAUUGAGCCCAGGAGGCCUGGGCUGUAGUGCGCUACACGGCUGGGGCAUCUGCACUAUGUUCAGCAUCAACAUGGUGACCUCCAAGGAGUAGGGGACCACCAGGUUGCCUACAGAGGGGUGAAUCGGCCCAGGUCAGAAACAGAGCAGGUCAAAACUCCCAUGCUGAUCAAUAGUAGGAUUGUGUCUGUGAAUAGCCAAUGCACUCUAGCCUGGGCAAGAUAAUGAGAUCUUGUCCCCA
ensembl:misc_RNA Metazoa_SRP Metazoan signal recognition particle RNA